rnacentral:ncRNA from 1 species
GAGUUUGAUCCUGGCUCAGGACGAACGCUGGCGGCGUGCUUAACACAUGCAAGUCGAACGAUGAAGCCGCUUCGGUGGUGGAUUAGUGGCGAACGGGUGAGUAACACGUGGGCAAUCUGCCCUGCACUCUGGGACAAGCCCUGGAAACGGGGUCUAAUACCGGAUAUGAUCACCGGCCGCAUGGUCUGGUGGUGGAAAGCUCCGGCGGUGCAGGAUGAGCCCGCGGCCUAUCAGCUUGUUGGUGGGGUGAUGGCCUACCAAGGCGACGACGGGUAGCCGGCCUGAGAGGGCGACCGGCCACACUGGGACUGAGACACGGCCCAGACUCCUACGGGAGGCAGCAGUGGGGAAUAUUGCACAAUGGGCGCAAGCCUGAUGCAGCGACGCCGCGUGAGGGAUGACGGCCUUCGGGUUGUAAACCUCUUUCAGCAGGGAAGAAGCGCAAGUGACGGUACCUGCAGAAGAAGCACCGGCUAACUACGUGCCAGCAGCCGCGGUAAUACGUAGGGUGCGAGCGUUGUCC